rnacentral:lncRNA from 1 species
GCUUGCCAAUGUUUGAAAGCAUUCAGGCCUAAAUCGCUGGAAAGAUGGAACUCCUUAGACUGGUCUGAAGGGUGUAUACACAAUAAGCCAUUAAACUGCCAAAGCGGAGAUGGAUUUAUUAGAAUUGAGAGGGUGAAAACGCCAGAUACCUCACAUUCUUGGGUGAGCAAAAGUAUGAAUCUCGAGGAAUGCAGGGCUAAGUGCUUGCAGAACUGUUCUUGUAUGGCAUACACUAAUUUAGAUAUUAGAGGAGGAGGUAGCGGCUGCGCCAUGUGAUUUGGUGAUCUAAUUGAUAUUAAACAAUUUCAAUCAGAUGGCCAGGAUCUUUACAUCAGAGUCUCUGCUUCAGAAGCAGGUAUCAGUUUAAAAUCAGAACAUAUUCUUGUUACAGCUUGUGAUAAUUUCUUUUGGAAAUUGUUUAAUUAUAUUUGGGCUCCUUCAUCAAUAAUGAUCAUGCAGAACUGAAAAACAAGGCUAAGGCGAAGCUGGCCGUGAUAAUUGCAACACCAAUUGCUAUGUUCUUGGGGCUUCUUGUAGUCAUUUAUUACAUCCGGAGAAGGAGGAGAAAAUUAGAAGGUAAUAUCAACUAUGGUCCUCAUAAAGCAGGGGAAAGUUGGUAUUUGAUACAAAUACCAAAAUCGUUUUUGCUCACAGCAUCGCUAUCAAAUCCCUGCCCUGUUUUCAAGAAAACAGUAAUACUAAAAUUUGUCAUUUCACUUAUCAAAUUUGAUAAUAGAUGGUUUUCAAUUUUGUUUUAUGAUCUGACAAAAAGUGAGUCCAUGAACAAUUGGUUCGAUAUUUUUGGUUUUGGUGUUCAGAAGAAGCAUACAGCUUUUGUUCUUCUAACUAAAUCUCUCAAUAUGAUUAAGAAAGCGUAUUUCUAUGUUGAAUGCUAGCCUAUUUUGACUACUGUUUCAGAUGAAGUUGAAAAAAGGAUUGAAAAUGAUCAAAAGAACCAAGGCCAGAGUACAGAUAUGGAACUUGCCGUAUUCGAGCUAGGUACGAUAGCCAGAGCUACUGAUAGUUUUUCUUUUAAUAACAAGCUAGGUGAAGGAGGUUUUGGACCUGUUUAUAAGGUAAAAGUGACAACAUAUUACUACAAUGAUCUCAAUUGCAGAGAAUUCAUCUUUAUUGAAAGCUCAUCAAAAUAUUCUUAUUCUCCAGGGGACACUUGCAAUUGGACAAGAAAUUGCUGUGAAAAGACUUUCCAAGAGUUCCGGACAAGGAUUGAACGAGUUUAAAACUGAAGUAAAGUUGAUUGCCAAACUUCAGCAUCGGAAUCUUGUAAGGCUUCUUGGGUGCUGCAUUCAUGGAGGGGAGACAAUGCUGGUUUAUGAAUAUAUGCCUAACAGAAGUCUUGACUCAUUUAUUUUUGUCGGUAACCUUUCAAUUUUAUAUCUUCUGCUCUCGGCUUGUGAAAUAAUUUUCUUUUGCUGCUUCAAAAGAUCAAAUAGAUACAGUAUUAAUAUGAAUGCAGUACUUGACAGAUCAAAGAAGGUGCAAAGUAUUAGAUUGGCCCAAGCGUUUCCAAAUUAUCUGUGGGAUUGCUAGGGGACUCCUUUACCUUCAUCAAGAUUCCAGAUUGAGGAUUAUUCAUAGAGAUCUAAAAGCUAAUAAUAUUUUGCUUGAUAGUGAGAUGAACCCAAAAAUUUCAGAUUUUGGCAUGGCAAGAACUUUUGAAGGAGACCAGACUGAAGCCAAUACCAACAGAGUGGUUGGAACUUAGUAAGUCUACUUUUUCUGCAAAUUUGAUCUAUAAAUGCCCAUGAAACUCUUAUCUGACAAUGUUCUGCAGCGGUUAUAUGGCACCAGAAUAUGCUAUCGAUGGGCUGUUUUCCGUAAAAUCAGAUGUGUUUAGCUUUGGCAUAUUGUUGUUGGAGAUAAUAAGUGGAAGAAAGAAUAGAGGAUUCUAUCAUCAAAAUCAAAGCGGCAACCUUAUUGAACAUGUAAGCCUCAUUGUCAUUAUCUUUUAUUACAUAUCUUGAACUGAUGAAUGAUAAUUGCAUAUAUGUUGUAUUUAAUAAAACAAAUGAAAUUUUAAAUUUUCAUAUUACUUUAUUUUUAAAUUUUUUAAAAACAUUUACACUCUUCGUGAACUGUUUAUUAUAUUCACAACUCAUAAAUAUACACAAACUUAUAACGACAUAAUAAUUACGAUAAAAUAUUUUUUUAUUUAUCAUUAAAUCAAGAGUUUUAAUGAUACAACUCGUCUAUUUUCUUUUUCAACAUAAUGAAAACUCAUAAAAAUAUUAUUAUCUUUUUAUUAAUUAAAGUAGUAGUAGUAGGAGUAGCAUGGUACUCAUUGGCAUGUGAGCGGACGCAUUGGAGAAAAUAGCAUAAUCAAAUAAUCGAUAGUUCCUCCUGCUUGAUACUACUUUCAGCUUGAUUUUGUCAUGACAAUAAUGUUGUCUUAAUAAUAAGUAAUUAUGUCAUUCACCAUGUAUUUUUGUUGGUUUUUGGAAGUUCUCUUUAGGUUUGCUAACAUGACUGCAAAAUUAUACAUAACUAAAUAAUAUAUAUGUAUAGUAUUAUUUUUAAAAAGAAAAAAAAAGGAAAAUUGAGUUCUAUGUGCCAAAAAAAUUGAUUUUAUUUGUUGAAUAAAAUAAAAAAUAAUUAAAUAUAUAAUUAAUAAACCAUAUAUAAUUUUUUUUUAAAAAGCAUAUCUAUUAAUUAGAAAUGAUAAUUAAUUAUAUAAAUAUGUGAUUAAUAUUAAUUGAUUAACUAUUUUAAAUUAAUUACUUUAAUGAAUUAACUAAUUAAUUAAUUAACUACUUUAUUUGUAAAAUAAUUUCAAUUAAUUAAUUUAAUUCUUUAAAACUUAACUAAUUUACUAAAAAUAAAUAUUUAGUAAUUUCACAUAUUUUAAUAUAUAAAUAUUCAAUAUUCAAAUAUUAUGUUAUUUUUGUCAAGCUAUUAUUUAUUAUUUUAAGGGAUAAAGUUGAAAAAUUAAAAAUUUAUAUUAAAAAAAGAAGGUAAAUUUGAAAAUAUAAAGGUCAUUUUGUAAUACUGGGUCAGUUCUAUCGGACCCUUAGGACAUGUGAUUGCAAUUUCUUGUAAAUUCAGUUUAAAAGUCUAGAAAAGACUUAGACUUUUUGGCAUUCAUGUUGACUUUAAUUACUUGUAAAUCUCCAUGACGUACGUUUUUUCCAAGUCUAGAGAUGCAUGUUUACUUAAUUACUAGCACUUUGAGUGCUCUUGGUUUAAGUCAUACUCUUACGGUCUAGUAGUGUACGAGGCAAUUAAUUUUAGAGGUUACUUUACGAUAAAAUCAAGUGUAAAGUUCCCUGAUUUUUUGUGUAACCAAGAAUUUUAACAUCUUGGGUUUACUGAAACAGUUGGGAGCUCUACAUUGAGCGAGGGCAGACAAUAAUAUUCUGUUUCAUAGUUUUUUAAACUUAACUGCAACUUAUUUCAGUUCCUAUUUCUCAAUAAUCUUAACUUGACAGCCAUCAUGUUAGUUAAAAGAUAUUUCUAUCUCCAGGAAGAAGUUGAGGCCUAUAGAAGAGUUGUAGUCUCUGUCACGAUUGAUUAAUAAUUCCAAGGUCAAUGGAGCCAAAGUCUUGCCUUGAAGCCUGAAGAUCAAUGCUGUUUACAAUGUUCAAUCAAAUGGCAUCUCUUCUUAUCUUCCAAGCAAAAAGCUUUCAGACCAUACAUCCAUGGGCAUGGAUAUCCUUUCUUUCAGUGCUUGUUUCCUCAUCAUCUUCUCCAAAGCUUCCAACGCACUCGACAAGAUUUCUCCGUCUGAGUCACUCACUGAUGGCACGACCUUGGUCUCUAGUGAUGGAAGCUUUGUAUUGGGUUUCUUCACUCCGGGGAGUUCCAAGAAUCGUUACUUGGGAAUUUGGUACAAUAACAUCCCCAUGCAAACUGUUGUAUGGGUUGCAAACAGGAUAAAUCCGAUAAAGGACACCACUGGCUUGCUCAAGAUAGAAACCAAUGGCACAGUCGUGCUUCUAGGUCAGAACCAAACAACUGUUUGGUCAAUUAAUUCCACAGAAGCAGCUCAGAAUCCGAUUCUGCAGCUCCUGGAUUCAGGCAAUCUUGUUGUCAGAGAUGGAAAAGACGGUGAUUCAGAGAACUACUUGUGGCAAAGCUUUGAUUAUCCAACAGAUACAAUGUUAGCAGGGAUGAAGAUUGGUUGGGACCUGAGAACUGGUUUAAAUCGAAGACUAGCAGCAUGGAAGAACUCAGAUGAUCCAUCUCCUGGGGACCUUACUUAUGGGGUAGAACUCCAAGGCAAUCCAGAGAUGGUGCUGCGGAAAGGCUCAGAAAAGUACUAUCGCAGUGGACUAUGGAAUGGCAAUGGAUUUAGUGGUAACCCAAGUUUAAGAUCAAAUCCGGUCUAUGAUUUCGACUUUGUUUGGAAUGAGGAGGAGGUGUACUACAUAAAUUACCCAAAAAAUAAAUCCGUGAUGUUAAGGGUUGUUUUGAACCAAACUGAAAACCUAAGACAGCGGUACACAUGGAACCCAGAAAUUCAAACUUGGAAGUUGUUUCUCUUCCAACCAAGUGACUAUUGUGACAGACUUGGACUUUGUGGUGCAAAUGGGAACUGCGAUAAUUCCAAGCUUCCAGCUUGCCAAUGCUUGAAAGCAUUCAGGCCUAAAUCGCUGGAAAAAUGGAACUCUUCAGACUGGUCUGAUGGGUGUGUACACAAUAAGCCAUUAAACUGCCAAAGCGGAGAUGGAUUUAUUAGAAUUCAGAGGGUGAAAACGCCAGAUACCUCACAUUCUUGGGUGAACAAAAGCAUGAACCUCAAGGAAUGUAGGGCUAGGUGCUUGCAGAACUGUUCAUGUAUGGCAUACACUAAUUUAGAUAUUAGAGGAAAAGGUAGCGGCUGCGCCAUGUGGUUUGAUGAUCUAAUUGAUAUUAAACAAUUCCAAUCAUUUG